UACGGGGGGGGCAAGCGUUGUUCGGAAUUACUGGGCGUAAAGGGCUCGUAGGCGGCCAACUAAGUCAGACGUGAAAUCCCCAGGCUUAACCUGGGAACGGCAUCCGAUACUGGAGGGCUUGAAUUCGGGAGAGGGAUGCAGAAUUCCAGGUGUAGCGGUGAAAUGCGUAGAUAUCUGGAGGAAUACCGGUGGCGAAGGCGGCAUCCUGGACCGAGAUUGACGCUGAGGAGCGAAAGCUAGGGGAGCAAACGGG
rnacentral:rRNA from 1 species